UCAGGCCCAGAGUUCAAGCCUCAUGACCACCACCACCAACAAAAGACUAGUGCUAUACCACUUGUCCACAGCUCCACUUCUCGCUCUUUGCAAUAUUGAGUGCUUUAGUUGAGUAUGUGACUUAAAGUCUCUGACAUAGACCUAGUCUCUGUUCAUAAACUGACAAGGUUGCUUUUGUCUGUAACUACUGCUUUUAUGUUACUUUCCCCUUCCAAGACAAAACAACUUGGGAGACUUCUGUGCUAUUCUGUCCUAUCUACUAUCUAUUAUCUCUAAGAAAAGUGGAGACUGUUUUACACAACUGUUGGCAUGGCCUUUGCCUUAACUUGCUGUACACCAGGAUGUACAGUGAAGCAUUGGUCAGAUGUUUAUUUGCUCCAGAUGGCAUCACCUCUAGCUAGUAAUGACUGAGACCGCUGUCUGAUUGCCACUGAGAGGCUUUUCCAUGCACAGGGCUAGUGGAAUGAGUGGGCCAGUUAUUAACAGGCUCAAUCUGGUGCCUACCAUGGCACCAGAAUAACAACCAGCUUCGGCUAUGUAAAUUCCCUCAUAGAAGCAAAGAAUGAAAUCCAUCUUAGCAAGAAGCAUCAUUUCCAGUUUGAUAGGACUUAUAUUGCUGAAGUAUUUUGUGAAAUGGUAUAGGCAGUCAUUUUUUAUUAUAAUUUAAAGCAUCUGUUUACUAGAUUAGCCUCCACUCUUAAGAUUUUCUUCCAGAAUGUAUUGGAUAACAUUCCUCAUUAUUGUAGAUGCCCCUACCGAGUAUGAUAGGCUUAGUCACACCUUGAUUGUUGCCAGAGGAAAAUUCAGUAGCCAUCAAGUAAAAACCUUUUGCUAUGAAAAGCAUCUACUACUUUGAAUGUGUGUAAUACUUGACAUGUUUAAUUAGAUGCCUCCAAUGAGGAUUGGAGAUGACAUACCACAAAGCUGGUUGUCUUUGCAUGCACUCACUGAAAUGACUCAACCCAGCUCUCGGCUUCACGUUAGCUCUUCUCUUGUUAGCCAAGAGGACAGUGUCCUUGGAAACUGUAACCAAGGUUACUUAUUCCCAUCCUGUGGAUUGUGUCAGGCAGCUUCACCCUACUGUUUGAAUGGCGAUUAAUAAGCACUUUUCUUUUUGGGGGUAUUGUGUUUUACUUUUUAGAUUUCUAUGGGUUAGCAUGUAAUUUUUGUCUGAACAUGCUUGAGCUAGCACACAUCUAAGGUAUACUAGGAUAUUAUCUAUGGUUUUUCUCAUCUCAUAGCAUUCCAUAUGGACUGCAUAUUUUAAAGUUAUUUUAAUGUUAGUUAUCUACUUUCCUAUUAGUAUGUUCCUGAAAAACUUUAGGGUUUGUAUGUUACAGAAAUGUGAAAUGCUUGCUUUGUACUGGGAGCCACUGUGAAAAUUCCCCUCCACACCUGGGUCAAACAGCUUCUUUUGUGAAGAGCUAAUAAAGUGACAUUUUCAAAGGCACUUGCUGCUCAGAGGGAAGCGUUGUAGCUUGCUGUAGACUAUUUCAGCAUGCAUCAGUAUGCAGGCAAGUUUCUGUGUUUCUAUGACUCGGUUGGAAGAAUAUACACCAAAUAGUUACACUGACAAGUCCUCUCCUUCCAAAGUCCAGCUGAAGAAGGAACUUAAUGAAACAGCUCUGGGAGAAAUAUGCCACGUUGCAAAUACUUUAAGCAUCAGCAUAAUAAAGUUUUCUCCAUUUA